UACGUAGGGGGCAAGCGUUGUCCGGAAUCAUUGGGCGUAAAGAGCGCGUAGGCGGCCCAGUAAGUCCGCUCUGAAAGUCAGGGGCUCAACCCCUGAAUGCGGGUGGAUACUGCUGGGCUAGAGUCCGGAAGAGGCGAGUGGAAUUCCUGGUGUAGCGGUGGAAUGCGUAGAGAUCCGGAAGAACACCGGUGGCGAAGGCGGCCUGCUGGGCGGCGACUGACGCUGAGGCGCGACAGCGUGGGGAGCAAACAGG
rnacentral:rRNA from 1 species